GGAAGUGUACCCAAGUGGCUAUAAGGGGGGAGACUUGAAAUCUCUUAGUUCGGAUGAGUAAUUCGGAGCGUGGGUUCAAAUCCUACCACUUCCG
rnacentral:tRNA from 1 species